UACAGAGGUCCCGAGCGUUGUUCGGAUUCACUGGGCGUAAAGGGUGCGUAGGUGGUUGGGUAAGUUUGAUGUGAAAGCUCAGGGCUUAAGCCCUGAAAUGGCAUUGAAUACUACUUAACUGGAGGUUUGGAGGGGGGACUGGAAUUCUUGGUGUAGCAGUGAAAUGCGUAGAUAUCAAGAGGAACACCAGUGGCGAAGGCGAGUCCCUGGACAACACCUGACACUGAGGCACGAAAGCUAGGGGAGCAAACAGG
rnacentral:rRNA from 1 species